GAUGAACGCUAGCGGCAGGCUUAAUACAUGCAAGUCGUGGGGCAGCAGGACUGUAGCAAUCCAGUUGCUGGCGACCGGCAAACGGGUGCGGAACACGUACGCAACUUACCCUGAACUGGGGGAUAGCCCGGGGAAACCCGGAUUAAUACCCCGUAAUAUAAUGGAGUGGCAUCACUUUAUUAUUAAAGCUCCGGCGGUUCGGGAUGGGCGUGCGGCUGAUUAGGUAGUUGGUUGAGGUAACGGCUCACCAAGCCUACGAUCAGUAACUGGUGUGAGAGCACGACCAGUCAGACGGGCACUGAGGCCCGGGCACGACUCGUACGGGAGGCAGCAGUAAGGAAUAUUGGGCACUGGAGGCAACUCUGACCCAGCCAUGCCGGGUGGAGGAUGCAGGCCCUCUGGGUUGUAAACUUCUUUUAUAGGGGACGAAACCUGUGUAUUCUUACGCAGUUGACGGUACCCAAGGAAUAAGCACCGGCUAACUCCGUG
rnacentral:rRNA from 1 species